rnacentral:tmRNA from 1 species
GGGGUUGACUUGGCUUCGACGGGAGCAGGCGGUCCCUGGCUGCAUGUCGGGUUGAACAUCCCGUAACCACUGUUCGCAAUGCAAUAAACGCAAACAACACAGAUUAUCGCCCCGCUUACGCCGUAGCGUAAGUUUAACCCUUACUUGGGGCUGCUCCCUCCGCUGACGCCGUAUAGGCGGAUUUUGGGAGUAUCACAACCUUACGGCUAUAUCUGCAGGGUGCCUCGCCUGCAGACGAACCUCUGAGGCUCGCACCGCGCAGCUUUGGGCAUUGCGCGAAGCGGUGUUAAAUAUAGCAAUGCCGUCUAAGCAUGUAGAGGCCAGGGGUUGCUUGUUUCCGGACAGGGGUUCGAUUCCCCUCAACUCCACCA